rnacentral:rRNA from 1 species
GGUUUAAGCCAUACUACCCUGAACAUGCCCAAUCUCAUCUGAUUUCAGAAGCUAAACAGGGUUGGGCCUGGUUAGUACUUGGAUGGGAAGAAGAGUAUCAAGGAACAGAAUCCU